UACGGGGGGGGCAAGCGUUGUUCGGAAUUACCGGGCGUAAAGGGCUCGUAGGCGGCCAACUAAGUCAUACGUGAAAUCCCUCGGCUUAACCGGGGAACUGCGUCUGAUACUGGAUGGCUUGAGUUCGGGAGAGGGAUGCGGAAUUCCAGGUGUAGCGGUGAAAUGCGUAGAUAUCUGGAGGAACACCGGUGGCGAAGGCGGCAUCCUGGACCGAUACUGACGCUGAGGAGCGAAAGCCAGGGGAGCAAACGGG
rnacentral:rRNA from 1 species